rnacentral:rRNA from 1 species
UACGGAGGGUGCAAACGUUGCUCGGAAUUAUUGGGCGUAAAGCGCACGUAGGCGGACCAUCAAGUCGGAUGUGAAAUCCCUCGGCUUAACCGAGGACGUGCAUUCGAAACUGAUGGCCUUGAGUACGAAAGAGGAUCGCGGAAUUCCCGGUGUAGAGGUGAAAUUCGUAGAUAUCGAGAGGAACACCGGUGGCGAAGGCGGCCUUCUGGACAGUGACUGACGCUGAGACGCGAAAGCGUGGGGAGCAAACAGG